GAUGAGCGCUGGCGGCGUGCCUAAUACAUGCAAGUCGAGCGAACGGACGAGAAGCUUGCUCUUCUGAUGUUAGCGGCGGACGGGUGAGUAACACGUGGAUAACCUACCUAUAAGACUGGGAUAACUUCGGGAAACCGGAGCUAAUACCGGAUAAUAUUUUGAACCGCAUGGUUCAAAAGUGAAAGACGGUCUUGCUGUCACUUAUAGAUGGAUCCGCGCUGCAUUAGCUAGUUGGUAAGGUAACGGCUUACCAAGGCAACGAUGCAUAGCCGACCUGAGAGGGUGAUCGGCCACACUGGAACUGAGACACGGUCCAGACUCCUACGGGAGGCAGCAGUAGGGAAUCUUCCGCAAUGGGCGAAAGCCUGACGGAGCAACGCCGCGUGAGUGAUGAAGGUCUUCGGAUCGUAAAACUCUGUUAUUAGGGAAGAACAUAUGUGUAAGUAACUGUGCACAUCUUGACGGUACCUAAUCAGAAAGCCACGGCUAACUACGUG
rnacentral:rRNA from 1 species